CAGGCUGAGAACAAAGGCAAAAACACCGUGCUAGCGCGGGCUGAGAUCCGUUUCAGGAAGUUUAGUUUGGAGUCGAGAAGAGCGAGAAGGGAUCCCAUUAAUGCAUUUAUAUCGAUCUCUAUAUAUCUGUAUCUCAAAGGCAGGUGCCAAGAGGAUGGUGCCAGACUACUUUUGGUGGUGUGCAGCGACAGGAUGAGGAGCAAUGGACAUGAACUAAAACACGACAGAAGAGGUCACAUUAAGGUGCUGAUCCAGAAGACACAUGCAUACUCUGUUUAUUUUGAAUGCAAGAUCUGAACUUACUUGAAAUUACUACUAUCAAUUACCAAAGAUUUAAAGAAUGAUGGAAGGCACAGCCGUGAUGAACAAGUUCCAGUGCUACAGGAAAGCUGAAGAUUAAUUUACUUGCUUAAUAAUGCUGCUAAAAAUGUAAGAUUUCAAAAUUAAUAAAAGAACCAGUCAAUUAA